CGUACCCUGGAAACAGAAGCGCCAAGGAACAUGGAUACAAGUGUGCCUUUCUUCAGCUGGUUCGCCAGAUGUAGAGGUGGCACCAAGUCGUAUAUAACAUUAAACGACUUUCGGCAACGGAUAUUUCGGCUCUCGCAUCGAUGAAGAACGUAGCGAAAUGCGAUACUUGGUGUGAAUUGCAGAAUCCCGUGAACCAUCGAGUCUUUGAACGCAAGUUGCGCCCGAAGCCUUUAGGUCGAGGGCACGCCUGCCUGGGCGUCACGCAUCGCGUCUCCCCCCACCCACCUUCAGUGGGAGGGGCGGAGGAUGAUGGCCUCCCAUGCCUCACCGGGUGUGGAUGGCCUAAAUACGGAGCCCCCGGUUAUGAAGUGCCGCGGCAUAGGUGAGAUACAAGGCCUAGCCUAGGAUACAUCGGAGUCGUGCACUUUUUAGCUUUUGAGGACUCGCAGGACCCUAAGUUUGGUUGCCCAUUGGGGCAUCAAAACCGUUGCGACCCCAGGUCAGGCGGGGCUACCCGCUGAG
rnacentral:rRNA from 1 species